CAAGGUUUCCGUAGGUGANCCUGCGGAAGGAUCAUUAUUGAAUAAACUUGGUUGGGUUGCUGCUGGCUCCUUGGAGCAUGUGCACGCCUAGCACCAUUUUUACCACCUGUGCACCUUUUGUAGACCUGGAUACCUCUCGAGGAAACUCGGUUUGAGGACUGCUGUGCGCAAGCCGGCUUUCCUUGCUUUCCGGUCUAUGUUUUCACAUACCCCAUAAAAUGUAACAGAAUGUCAUUAACUGGCCUUUGUGCCUUUAAUCAAAUACAACUUUCAGCAACGGAUCUCUUGGCUCUCGCAUCGAUGAAGAACGCAGCGAAAUGCGAUAAGUAAUGUGAAUUGCAGAAUUCAGUGAAUCAUCGAAUCUUUGAACGCACCUUGCGCUCCCUGGUAUUCCGGGGAGCAUGCCUGUUUGAGUGUCAUUAAAUUCUCAACCUUAYCAGUUUUUACUAGCUGGUAAGGCUUGGAUGUGGGGGUUGCGGGCUUCUCAGAAGUCGGCUCUCCUUAAAUGCAUUAGCGAAACCUUUGUUGACCAUCCUAUGGUGUGAUAAUUAUCUACGCCACAGUGAUAUCAGCUUUAUUAUGGGGUUCUGCUUCUAACCGUCCUCUCGAGGACAACUCUUGACAUUUUGACCUCAAAUCAGGUAGGACUACCCG
rnacentral:rRNA from 1 species